CUCACAAGGGCCGAGUACAGGGUCAGGAUUGCUUCCCUAGUCCUGCUCACCACACUGUUUCUGAUACAAGCCAGGAUGCCGUUGGCCUUCUUGGCCACCUGGGCACACUGCUGGCUCAUAUUCAGAUGACUGUCCAUCAGUACACCAAGGUCCCUUUCCAUCUGGCAGCUUUCCAGCCACUCCUCCCCAAGCCUGGAGGGUUGCCUGGGGUUGUUGUGACCAAAGUGCAGGACCUGACACUUGGCCCUACUGAAACUCAUACAGUUUGCCUUGGCCCAUUGAUCCAGUCAAUCCAGGUCCCUCUGUAGUGUCUUUCUCCCCUCAGACAGAUCAGCACUCCCUCCCAACUUGGUGUUGUCUGCAAACUUAUCGAGGGUGUACUCAAUCCCCUCAUCAAGAUCAUCAGUGAAGAUGUUAACAGAAGCGGCCCCAGCACUGAGCCUUGGGGGACACCGCUUGUGACCAGCCGCAAACUGGAUUCAACUCCAUUGACCACGACUCUUUGGGCCUAGCCAUCCAGGCAGUGCGUCACCCAGCGGAGCGUACACCCAUCCAGACCAUGAGCAGCCAGCUUCUCCACGAUAAUGUUGUGGGGGACAGGCUUUACUGAAGUCGAGGUAGACCACAUUGACAGCCUGACCCUCAUCCACUAAACAGGUCACCUUGUCAUAGAAUGAAAUCAGGUUUGUCAGACAGGAUCUACCGUUCGUAAAUCCAUGCUGACUGGGCCUGAUCCCCUGGUUGACCUUUAAUUGGUCCAUGAUGGUUCCCGAGACUAUUCAUUCCAUAACCUUCCUGACACCGAGGUGAGACUGAUAGGUCUGUAGCUACCAGGAUCAUCUUUCCAUCCCUUUUUGAAGAUGGGCGUCAUGUUUGCCAGUCUCCAGUCUGCCGGGACAUUCCCAGUUAGACAGGACUGCCAAAGAAUCAUGGACAGUGGCUUAGCAACCACAUCCGCCAACUCCCUCAGCACUCUAGGGUGCAAUCCGUCUGGCCCCAUGGACUUGUGAGCAUCCAGGUUUCAGGUCCAAAACUAUCUCAUCAUGGAUCAUGUGGGGCUUAUUC
ensembl:lncRNA